GCCCAGACUCCUACGGGAGGCAGCAGUGGGGAAUAUUGCACAAUGGGCGCAAGCCUGAUGCAGCGACGCCGCGUGAGGGAUGACGGCCUUCGGGUUGUAAACCUCUGUUAGCAGGGAAGAAGAGAGAUUGACGGUACCUGCAGAGAAAGCGCCGGCUAACUACGUGCCAGCAGCCGCGGUAAUACGUAGGGCGCGAGCGUUGUCCGGAAUUAUUGGGCGUAAAGAGCUUGUAGGCGGUUUGUCGCGUCUGCUGUGAAAGGCCGGGGCUUAACCCCGUGUAUUGCAGUGGGUACGGGCAGACUAGAGUGCAGUAGGGGAGACUGGAAUUCCUGGUGUAGCGGUGGAAUGCGCAGAUAUCAGGAGGAACACCGAUGGCGAAGGCAGGUCUCUGGGCUGUAACUGACGCUGAGAAGCGAAAGCAUGGGGAGCGAACAGGAUUAGAUACCCUGGUAGUCCAUGCCGUAAACGUUGGGCACUAGGUGUGGGGGACAUUCCACGUUUUCCGCGCCGUAGCUAACGCAUUAAGUGCCCCGCCUGGGGAGUACGGCCGCAAGGCUAAAACUCAAAGAAAUUGACGGGGGCCCGCACAAGCGGCGGAGCAUGCGGAUUAAUUCGAUGCAACGCGAAGAACCUUACCAAGGCUUGACAUAUACUGGACCGCAUCAGAGAUGGUGUUUCCCUUCGGGGCUGGUAUACAGGUGGUGCAUGGUUGUCGUCAGCUCGUGUCGUGAGAUGUUGGGUUAA
rnacentral:rRNA from 1 species